rnacentral:rRNA from 1 species
CCUACGGGAGGCAGCAGUGGGGAAUAUUGGACAAUGGGGGGAACCCUGAUCCAGCCAUGCCGCGUGUGUGAAGAAGGCCCUCGGGUUGUAAAGCACUUUCAGUGAGGAAGAACGCCUGGUGGUUAAUACCCAUCAGGAAAGACAUCACUCACAGAAGAAGCACCGGCUAACUCCGUGCCAGCAGCCGCGGUAAUACGGAGGGUGCGAGCGUUAAUCGGAAUUACUGGGCGUAAAGCGCGCGUAGGUGGCUUGAUAAGCCGGUUGUGAAAGCCCCGGGCUCAACCUGGGAACGGCAUCCGGAACUGUCAAGCUAGAGUGCAGGAGAGGAAGGUAGAAUUCCCGGUGUAGCGGUGAAAUGCGUAGAGAUCGGGAGGAAUACCAGUGGCGAAGGCGGCCUUCUGGACUGACAAUGACAAUGAGGUGCGAAAGCGUGGGUAGCAAACAGGAUUAGAUACCCCAGUAGUC